GACGAACGCUGGCGGCGUGCCUAAUACAUGCAAGUCGAGCGAACUUGCGGGAGCUUGCUCCCAAAAGUUAGCGGCGGACGGGUGAGUAACACGUGGGCAACCUGCCCUAUAGUUUGGGAUAACUCCGGGAAACCGGGGCUAAUACCGAAUAAUACAUUUCAUCUCCUGGUGAAAUGUUGAAAGAUGGUUUCGGCUAUCGCUAUAGGAUGGGCCCGCGGCGCAUUAGCUAGUAGGUGAGGUAACGGCUCACCUAGGCGACGAUGCGUAGCCGACCUGAGAGGGUGAUCGGCCACACUGGGACUGAGACACGGCCCAGACUCCUACGGGAGGCAGCAGUAGGGAAUCUUCCACAAUGGGCGAAAGCCUGAUGGAGCAACGCCGCGUGAGUGAAGAAGGUUUUCGGAUCGUAAAACUCUGUUGUAAGGGAAGAACAAGUGCAGUAGUAACUGGCUGCACCUUGACGGUACCUUAUUAGAAAGCCACGGCUAACUACGUGCCAGCAGCCGCGGUAACAC
rnacentral:rRNA from 1 species